UACGAAGGGGGCUAGCGUUGUUCGGAAUCACUGGGCGUAAAGGGCGCGUAGGCGGCCGAUCAAGUCGGGGGUGAAAGCCUGUGGCUCAACCACAGAAUUGCCUUCGAUACUGUUUGGCUUGAGACCGGAAGAGGUUAGUGGAACUGCGAGUGUAGAGGCGAAAUUCGUAGAUAUUCGCAAGAACACCAGUGGCGAAGGCGGCUGACUGGUCCGGUUCUGACGCUGAGGCGCGAAAGCGUGGGGAGCAAACAGG
rnacentral:rRNA from 1 species